rnacentral:rRNA from 1 species
GUACCCGCUGAACUUAAGCAUAUCAAUAAGCGGAGGAAAAGAAACUAACAAGGAUUCCCCUAGUAACGGCGAGUGAAGCGGGAACAGCUCAAAUUUGAAAUCUCACAAGGUCACUUGUGCGAAUUGUAGUUUAGAGAAACGUUUUCGGGGGCGACGUGGGUAUAAGUCCUUUGGAAAGAGGCAUCAUAGAGGGUGAGAAUCCCGUUUAUGAUCCACUGUUCGCUCCUAUGUGAUACGUUUUCCAAGAGUCAUGUAGUUUGGGAUUGCUGCAUAAAAUGGGUGGUAAAUACCAUCUAAAGCUAAAUAUUGGCGGGAGACCGAUAGCGAACAAGUACCGUGAGGGAAAGAUGAAAAGAACUUUGAAAAGAGAGUUAAACAGUACGUGAAAUUGCCAAAAGGGAAACGCUUGGAACCAGUAUUGCUUUCAAGUAAUCAACUUCACGUCCCGCAAGGGUCGCGUGGGGUGCACUUGCUUGCAAGCGAGCCAACAUCAGUUUGGCUUGGGGUAAAAAGCCGGAGGAAGGUAGCUUGAACUUCGGUUUGAGUGUUAUAGCCUCCGGUCAUGCCUUGGGCCAGACUGAGGUCUGCAGCGUUAUUUGGAUUCCCGGUUGCCUCUUGAGACCAACCCUAGGCAGCACGCUGACUAGGGUGACGUUUAGAGAGCUCAGCCGGUUCAUCACACCUACGCUUAGGAUGUUGGCGAAAUGGUUCCAAACGACCCGUCUUGAAACACGGACCAAGGAGUCUAACAUAUAUGCGAGUAUUUGGGUGGCAAACCCUCAUGCGCAAUGAAAGUGAACUUAGGUGGGAUCUUCGGUGCACCAUCGACCGGUCUGGAUUUUUUUUGAUAGAUCUGAGUAAGAGCAUACAUGUUGGGACCCGAAAGAUGGUGAACUAUGCCUGAAUAGGGUGAAGCCAGAGGAAACUCUGGUGGAGGCUCGUAGCGACUCUGACGUGCAAAUCGAUCGUCAAAUUUGGGUAUAGGGGCGAAAGACUAAUCGAACCAUCUAGUAGCUGGUUCCCUCCGAAGUUUCCCUCANGAU